ACUCCUACGGGAGGCAGCAGUGGGGAAUUUUCCGCAAUGGGCGAAAGCCUGACGGAGCAACGCCGCGUGAGGGAUGAAGGCCUCUGGGCUGUAAACCUCUUUUAUCAAGGAAGAAGAUCUGACGGUACUUGAUGAAUAAGCCACGGCUAAUUCCGUG
rnacentral:rRNA from 1 species